rnacentral:rRNA from 1 species
AUUGAACGCUGGCGGCAUGCCUUACACAUGCAAGUCGAACGGCAGCACGGACUUCGGUCUGGUGGCGAGUGGCGAACGGGUGAGUAAUAUAUCGGAACAUGCCUUGUAGUGGGGGAUAACUAUCCGAAAGGAUAGCUAAUACCGCAUACGCUCUAUGGAGGAAAGCGGGGGAUCGUAAGACCUCGUGCUAUAAGAGUGGCCGAUAUCUGAUUAGCUAGUUGGUGAGGUAAAGGCUCACCAAGGCGACGAUCAGUAGCUGGUCUGAGAGGACGACCAGCCACACUGGAACUGAGACACGGUCCAGACUCCUGCGGGAGGCAGCAGUGGGGAAUUUUGGACAAUGGGGGCAACCCUGAUCCAGCAAUGCCGCGUGAGUGAAGAAGGCCUUCGGGUUGUAAAGCUCUUUUGUCAGGGAAGAAACGGUUGUGGCUAAUAUCCAUGGCUAAUGACGGUACCUGAAGAAUAAGCACCGGCUAACUACGUGCCAGCCGCCGCAGUAAAAC